GGAGCGCGGAUUUGAGCAAAACGCAGAGCUUUGCGUUUUGGUCCGAAUCCGAGCUCC
rnacentral:pre_miRNA from 1 species